AGAGUUUGAUCCUGGCUCAGGACGAACGCUGGCGGCGUGCUUAACACAUGCAAGUCGAACGGAAAGGCCCUUCGGGGUACUCGAGUGGCGAACGGGUGAGUAACACGUGGGUGAUCUGCCCUGCACUUUGGGAUAAGCCUGGGAAACUGGGUCUAAUACCGAAUAUGACCAUGCACUUCCUGGUGUGUGGUGGAAAGCUUUUGCGGUGUGGGAUGGGCCCGCGGCCUAUCAGCUUGUUGGUGGGGUAAUGGCCUACCAAGGCGACGACGGGUAGCCGGCCUGAGAGGGUGACCGGCCACACUGGGACUGAGAUACGGCCCAGACUCCUACGGGAGGCAGCAGUGGGGAAUAUUGCACAAUGGGCGCAAGCCUGAUGCAGCGACGCCGCGUGAGGGAUGACGGCCUUCGGGUUGUAAACCUCUUUCAGCACAGACGAAGCGCGAGUGACGGUAUGUGCAGAAGAAGGACCGGCCAACUACGUGCCAGCAGCUGCGGUAAUACGUAGGGUCCGAGCGUUGUCCGGAAUUACUGGGCGUAAAGAGCUCGUAGGUGGUUUGUCGCGUUGUUCGUGAAAACUCACAGCUUAACUGUGGGCGUGCGGGCGAUACGGGCAGACUGGAGUACUGCAGGGGAGACUGGAAUUCCUGGUGUAGCGGUGGAAUGCGCAGAUAUCAGGAGGAACACCGGUGGCGAAGGCGGGUCUCUGGGCAGUAACUGACGCUGAGGAGCGAAAGCGUGGGGAGCGAACAGGAUUAGAUACCCUGGUAGUCC
rnacentral:rRNA from 1 species